rnacentral:rRNA from 1 species
GCUUUAUAUCCACCUAGAGGAGCCUGUUCUAGAACCGAUAACCCCCGUUCAACCUCACCCUCCCUUGUUUACCCCGCCUAUAUACCACCGUCGUCAGCUUACCCUGUGAAGGCUUAAUAGUAAGCAAAAUUGGUAAAACCCARAACGUCAGGUCGAGGUGUAGCGUAUGAGAGGGGAAGAAAUGGGCUACAUUCGCUAAUUAUAGUGAAUACGAAUAAGGUAUUGAAAUAUACCCUUGAAGGAGGAUUUAGCAGUAAGUAGGAAAUAGAGUGUCCCACUGAAAAUGGCUCUAAAGCGCGCACACACCGCCCGUCACCCUCAAA